AGUCUCUGAGAGAUCACUGUUCUCAGCCACCUCUACCCCAACUUUAUAAAUAAGGAAACCAAGCCCAGGGUCACACAGCCCAUAAUUAACAUAGCCAAAAAUGAGGUGUUCAUACUCUUAAAUCAGAUAUAUUUCUACUAUAUCUCCUUACCUCCAAGUAACCAACAUCUGCCUCCAGCUCCAGGAACAUCUGGAGCAAGCAGGGAGUAAUGAUCUGCAUAAGUGGGAAAGACCCAGAAAAAAGGAGUUAUGCUGGCCCCAGCUAAGCUCAGGCAAGUGAGGAACUACAGCACUCCCCAGUCACCUCUCCAUCAGAAUGUUAUUAGUGGUAGGUACCUACUCCUGUCAGGAUUCUCCUGGUUGAAGCACUGCACCAUGCAUGAAAUCAUGUAUUAACAUGAUCCUGGGCUCCCUACUGACUUGGCAUGUUCUAACUAGUGUGAGAUCAUGGUGAUGAGCUGCCUACCAGCCUGGUAAUCUAGUUUAGCUAGACUGUAGUCUGGAUACUACAAAAUCCAAUCCACCCUCAAAGGCUGAUGGAGAUUGGGCCCCUAAGCAAAUGGCUAAAAUACAGCGUGUGCUUACUGAAAGAAACAGGGAGAAGGACUCACAGAUGCUGUCCUCCCAGCAGGAGCUCAUAAACAUGCUUGGCAUGAGAAGAACUGAGUCCAGGAGAAGGAGGAGACUCAAAGAAAACAGACACGGGGGUAAGGAUCAGAGGCAGCUUUGAUUCUUCCUGCCUAUCCAAUUCCCAGAGAGCAGAAACUGCAGACAGCCACAGACAUGUCCCCUGUCUAGGUUUCAAGGAAGGCUCAGCCUGUGGGUCUGGGAGGAAUGAGGACAAUCCAGAGACUUGUGGUAUCCUAAAAGCAAGUAAGGAGGAUAUUUCAUGGAGGGAGUUGUGGUUGGGGAGAAAUGCUAUGGAGAGUUCAAGGCAGAUGAGGACUAAAAAGUAUUUAUUUGAUUUGGUGACUGGGUGGUCACUGGUGACUUUUUUGCAAAAUUAUAGACAUCUGAAGAGUUACUGAGAAGAAUCAACAAAAAAGACUAUUUUAAAAUUAAUCUUGGCUGACACAGAAAAACUGAAUGGGACAAUAGAUUCUAAAAAUUUUUAUUUUAAUCCUGGGAGAACUUUGGUUGUUUGUGGGCCAUGUAGAAGUCACUGAUGGAGAGGGAGGCUAACGCUCCCAGGAAGUGGGAGCAGAGGCAUAAGUGAGGGAGCAAAGCUUUGGUGGGCAUAUAGCAGGAUUCAAGAAAGAGAACUAACUAGGAGCAAGAGGGAUGGAGAUGAGGAGGAUGCAGACACAGGUCAACAGGAGGGAGAGGGGAGCAGUGGGCAAAGAAGGUCUUGUCUUAGGAGCUCUCUUCUGUGAAGUAAACAGUGAGGUCAGUCAUUUGCUGAGAGCAAGGAGGAAGGUCAUGGAUGAGAAAGAAGAGCAACAACAAGUUAAAGAAUUUUCAAUCGAUACUGAGCCUGUCAACUAUGAAUCUGUCUUGCUUAGCAGCAGGGAGGAAGGGGCAGAAAAUAGGCUGAUGCAGAAAAUGAAGAAGGGUUGAUAGAUUCAGCAAAAGUUAGAGAGGAUGGGAAAGUUCAGGCUGCUGGUAGGAAUGUCUGGUGAUGGAUCCUCAGUUCAGGCUGGGAAGACGAAGAAGCUCAGGAGAAGGCCAAAAGUUUAGGAGAAGAAAGAGGGAUGAGGUCAUGGAAAUGGACUAAAGGAGCAGGCAAUUUGGGCAGUAGUGAGUGUGGGAGCAGAAGAGGAAGCUAGAGCAAAGGCUCAGCUCAGGAAUGCAGUGGGUGAUCCCAUUGUGUGAGACAGGGAACAGAGCAAAGCCCAGAAACAAACAAGGAGGGGCCUCGGUAUUAGGCGCCAGGAAAGAUCUGUUGCCAGAAAUGGGUACAAGAAGCCAGAGUCUGCUGGGUUGAUGGUAGGCUUGACAUGGAGCAGGGCCUAAGGAGGGCCUGGUGGCCACCACUCAGCAAGAGGUUACUGGGGCAGUCAGGGUGUGUAGUUAGCAAUUUCUAGAAUUCAGGAAGGGUCAACCAACUCACAGUCUGCCGAAGAAUGCUUUUCGGGUUUGAUCGGCACUUAAACCCCCUUUGCAUCAACUAAAGCCACACUACUAUCCUGUUUCUAAUCACAGCCAAGAGCCAACUUCUCUUCUCAGGCUCUGUGUGCUAUACCAUGAGAACCCCAUUCUUACUGUAUUUCCAAGAUAUGACAUUGUCAAGGGCUAAAGAGCUUGACUGACUUCAAACUGGGGCUACUAUGGGAACAAGCCAGUGCUAGGUCAGUAUAAAUGUCAGCAAAGAACCGCUGAAGGCAGUUACUUGGCACGCAGGAUUUUUUUUUUUUUAAUUUACAAAAAGUCAUGUUCCG
ensembl:lncRNA